CAGUCGAACGAUGAAGCCGCUUCGGUGGUGGAUUAGUGGCGAACGGGUGAGUAACACGUGGGCAAUCUGCCCUUCACUCUGGGACAAGCCCUGGAAACGGGGUCUAAUACCGGAUAACACUCUGUCCCGCAUGGGACGGGGUUAAAAGCUCCGGCGGUGAAGGAUGAGCCCGCGGCCUAUCAGCUUGUUGGUGGGGUAAUGGCCUACCAAGGCGACGACGGGUAGCCGGCCUGAGAGGGCGACCGGCCACACUGGGACUGAGACACGGCCCAGACUCCUACGGGAGGCAGCAGUGGGGAAUAUUGCACAAUGGGCGAAAGCCUGAUGCAGCGACGCCGCGUGAGGGAUGACGGCCUUCGGGUUGUAAACCUCUUUCAGCAGGGAAGAAGCGAAAGUGACGGUACCUGCAGAAGAAGCGCCGGCUAACUACGUGCCAGCAGCCGCGGUAAUACGUAGGGCGCAAGCGUUGUCCGGAAUUAUUGGGCGUAAAGAGCUCGUAGGCGGCUUGUCACGUCGGAUGUGAAAGCCCGGGGCUUAACCCCGGGUCUGCAUUCGAUACGGGCUAGCUAGAGUGUGGUAGGGGAGAUCGGAAUUCCUGGUGUAGCGGUGAAAUGCGCAGAUAUCAGGAGGAACACCGGUGGCGAAGGCGGAUCUCUGGGCCAUUACUGACGCUGAGGA
rnacentral:rRNA from 1 species